UAAACUUUGGAUGUACACGAUA
rnacentral:siRNA from 1 species